UACGGAGGGUGCGAGCGUUGUCCGGAAUCACUGGGCGUAAAGGGCGCGUAGGCGGCCUGAUAAGUAGGGGGUGAAAUCCUGCGGCUUAACCGCAGGGCUGCCUUCUAAACUGUCAGGCUAGAGCACGGUAGAGGCAGAUGGAAUUCCCGGUGUAGCGGUGGAAUGCGUAGAUAUCGGGAGGAACACCAGUGGCGAAGGCGACUACCUGGCCUGUUCUUGACGCUGAGGCGCGAAAGCUAGGGGAGCAAACGGG
rnacentral:rRNA from 1 species